GCCGACGUGGUGGAAUUGGUAGACACGCUAUCUUGAGGUGGUAGUGGCUAAUGCUGUGCCGGUUCGAGUCCGGCCGUCGGCA
rnacentral:tRNA from 1 species